UACGGAGGGUGCGAGCGUUGUCCGGAAUCACUGGGCGUAAAGAGCUCGUAGGCGGUUGGGUAAGUCGGGUGUGAAAACUCCAGGCUCAACUUGGAGACGCCACCCGAUACUGCUCUGACUUGAGUUCGGUAGGGGAGUGGGGAAUUCCUGGUGUAGCGGUGAAAUGCGCAGAUAUCAGGAGGAACACCGGUGGCGAAGGCGCCACUCUGGGCCGAAACUGACGCUGAGGAGCGAAAGCGUGGGUAGCAAACAGG
rnacentral:rRNA from 1 species